rnacentral:misc_RNA from 1 species
CAAAACUGAAGCAAAACUAAAUUAUGCAACAGAUUCACUCACAGUUUCAUUUUGGUUCACUACAUUAUAUUUGGAUUUGAAACACAUUGAUAGUGUCCUUCGAUCUAAAAUGAACAUUAUAAGACGUGCCACGCAUAAACCUGUAUGUGAAGUUUGUUGAAUCAAAGAAUACUACCAAACAACGCAUGCACAAUUUGAAACACUUGGGAGUUGCACAGAAAAUGCCUUGCCAAACCAAGAAAACAUUUUUGCACUAUCUUGCACUAAAAACAGGUUCUGCAUCUAGGCUUGGUUGUGUUCUUCGAGUGUACUUGAGCAACAAUGCUUCUGAAGAAAGACCAGGUACCUUUAGAUCCCUAAAGAAUAAAUUGCAUCCAGGAAAAUGAAAUCCCUUCUAAUAUCAGAUAAAGGAAAAAUAAAAAAAGGAAAAGAAUAAAAUGAAACAUAAGUGAACCUGAUGUAUGGAUGUAAAUCCUUCCACUCCCAUUUUGAUCGCUCUCUAAAGAGAAUGGAAAAACGCUCAGCAGGAGUUGAGGGCAGUGAAGAAACACUAAAGGCACGAACCCAUGUCUCAACACCAAGCUUCUCCGUUAAGACUUCCCCUUCCAACAUAUCAAAACUUGCCUGCAUGCCAUCUGGAAUCUGUUUCAACCAUUCCCCCAUAAAAUUUUCCAUCUUCCUUUUCCCUGCUUUCAAGAUUUCUCUUGCAAAAUGCACACAUACUCUCCUCCCAUCUAACUUCCAAAUAUAAUUUGCACACACAUCCUCAUCCAUCUUACUGCCAUAAACAUCCAAACAAUGGAGGGCAAGCUUGUGUGGAAAUCCAUCUGAUGCUAGCACCCUUACAACCUCAGCUUCAUUAAGUGCAUCUAAUGACCAGUCAUUCAAUACAGAAUUGUGCAAAAGCAUCCUUAGAAUCAUGUCCAUGUAUUUUUCCUCCACAAUUCUCCAAUACCCUUCAAUCUCUACAGCUGAAAGGGCCAGUAAUCCAGCCCUCAAUUCAUCAUUACUAGCCUGAACCCUUUCAACAAGAUCAUCCCACCUAUACAAUCCAGUUUUAUUUUUUCCCUCAUACAAAUCCUCCACUUCCAGGACUUCCUCAGACCCAUAAGGAUUCUCUGAUAGAAGUAACUUAAGUUUGUCAAGCCUAGGAGAAAUUUCAAUAAGCUCCAUGUUACCAGGUGCAACCUUAAUGACGGGUGCAAGUCGUUGCUGGCCUACCUGGCCAUAAACUUUGUCAUCACUAACUUGUGAAUUUUCACACAAUGCAGAUUGAUCUGAUGGAGGUAUGAGGAAUGAAGAAUUAGAAGUUCCAACAAACUUUAUGGCAUAAGUUUUUGACUUAGUGCAAAGAACUGCAUCUUCAUCUGGCUGACCUCUUAAAGUUACUCUUUGUUGGAGUACAUCUGGGAGGAGUUUUUCAUCAAGCUCAAGAAGCAUCAGAUCAUCAUAAGAACCAAAGUGAGGGUGAUAGGCAAUAGCAACUGAAGAGUUGGGUCGAAGAUUUAACACUGCUUCUGCUCCGCUGCAGCCCAUCUCUGCUUGAUCCAUAAUUUGCACUUAGCAAAGAAUGAUAAAAACUUAAAUAUGGAUCUUCAGUGCUGGCUAUAAAAGUGUGGAAUAUCGAGAAUUUGCAGGUGAAAUAUUGAGAGGCUAAAAGAGCGUUUUGGGCGUGGCGCUAGAAGAAAUGUUGAAUACAAUGCUUGGCAGGCUGCUGCGAGCAUUAUUGAUUUGAGUUCGAUUUCUUUGUUGUUAGCGCUGAGUACUUCUAUGUCUUUCCUGGACCCAUUUCGUGCUAGGGUUUUUCUCUACCAUCUGUAGAAGCAGGAGAGAGAGAGAGAGAGAGAG